GUCGAGCGAUGAAACUUUAACAGAACCCUUCGGGGCGAAGAUAAAGUGGAUUAGCGGCGGACGGGUGAGUAACACGUGAGUAACCUGCCUUAGACAUUGGGAUAGCCUCGGGAAACCGGGAUUAAUACCAAAUAAAAUCAUAAUGACACAUGUCAUAACGAUCAAAACUCCGGUGGUCUAAGAUGGACUCGCGUCCCAUUAGCUAGUUGGUAGAGUAAAAGCCUACCAAGGCGACGAUGGGUAGCCGGCCUGAGAGGGUGAACGGCCACAUUGGAACUGAGAAACGGUCCAAACUCCUACGGGAGGCAGCAGUGGGGAAUAUUGCACAAUGGAGGGAACUCUGAUGCAGCGACGCCGCGUGAACGAAGAAGGCUUUCGAGUCGUAAAGUUCUUUUAUAUGGGAAGAUAAUGACGGUACCAUAAGAAAAAGCCCCGGCUAACUACGUGCCAGCAGCCGCGGUAAUACGUAGGGGGCUAGCGUUGUCCGGAAUCACUGGGCGUAAAGGGUUCGCAGGCGGAAAUGCAAGUCAGAUGUAAAAGGCAGUAGCUUAACUACUGUAAGCAUUUGAAACUGCAUAUCUUGAGAAGAGUAGAGGUAAGUGGAAUUUUUAGUGUAGCGGUGAAAUGCGUAGAUAUUAAAAAGAAUACCGGUGGCGAAGGCGACUUACUGGGCUCAUUCU
rnacentral:rRNA from 2 species